GACGAACGCUGGCGGCGUGCUUAACACAUGCAAGUCGAACGGUGAACGAGGGAGCUUGCUCCCUCCGGAUCAGUGGCGAACGGGUGAGUAACACGUGAGCAAUCUGCCCCGAACUCUGGGAUAAGCGUUGGAAACGACGUCUAAUACCGGAUACGACGCGGGAGGGCAUCCUCUCCGCGUGGAAAGAACUUCGGUUCGGGAUGAGCUCGCGGCCUACCAGCUUGUUGGUGAGGUAACGGCUCACCAAGGCGACGACGGGUAGCCGGCCUGAGAGGGUGACCGGCCACACUGGGACUGAGACACGGCCCAGACUCCUACGGGAGGCAGCAGUGGGGAAUAUUGCACAAUGGGCGCAAGCCUGAUGCAGCAACGCCGCGUGAGGGACGACGGCCUUCGGGUUGUAAACCUCUUUUAGCAGGGAAGAAGCGAAAGUGACGGUACCUGCAGAAAAAGCACCGGCUAACUACGUG
rnacentral:rRNA from 1 species